CGAUGAUCUCCGCUUGCUGGGGGGAUUAGUGGCGAACGGGUGAGUAACACGUGAGUAACCUGCCCUUGACUCUGGGAUAAGCCUGGGAAACUGGGUCUAAUACCGGAUAUGACUCCUCAUCGCAUGGUGGGGGGUGGAAAGCUUUUUGUGGUUUUGGAUGGACUCGCGGCCUAUCAGCUUGUUGGUGAGGUAAUGGCUCACCAAGGCGACGACGGGUAGCCGGCCUGAGAGGGUGACCGGCCACACUGGGACUGAGACACGGCCCAGACUCCUACGGGAGGCAGCAGUGGGGAAUAUUGCACAAUGGGCGCAAGCCUGAUGCAGCGACGCCGCGUGAGGGAUGACGGCCUUCGGGUUGUAAACCUCUUUCAGUAGGGAAGAAGCGAAAGUGACGGUACCUGCAGAAGAAGCGCCGGCUAACUACGUGCCAGCAGCCGCGGUAAUACGUAGGGCGCAAGCGUUAUCCGGAAUUAUUGGGCGUAAAGAGCUCGUAGGCGGUUUGUCGCGUCUGCCGUGAAAGUCCGGGGCUCAACUCCGGAUCUGCGGUGGGUACGGGCAGACUAGAGUGAUGUAGGGGAGACUGGAAUUCCUGGUGUAGCGGUGAAAUGCGCAGAUAUCAGGAGGAACACCGAUGGCGAAGGCAGGUCUCUGGGCAUUAACUGACGCUGAGGAGCGAAAGCAUGGGGAGCGAACAGGAUUAGAUACCCUGGUAGUCCAUGCCGUAAACGUUGGGCACUAGGUGUGGGGGACAUUCCACGUUUUCCGCGCCGUAGCUAACGCAUUAAGUGCCCCGCCUGGGGAGUACGGCCGCAAGGCUAAAACUCAAAGGAAUUGACGGGGGCCCGCACAAGCGGCGGAGCAUGCGGAUUAAUUCGAUGCAACGCGAAGAACCUUACCAAGGCUUGACAUGAACCGGAAAGACCUGGAAACAGGUGCCCCGCUUGCGGUCGGUUUACAGGUGGUGCAUGGUUGUCGUCAGCUCGUGUCGUGAGAUGUUGGGUUAAGUCCCGCAACGAGCGCAACCCUCGUUCUAUGUUGCCAGCACGUGAUGGUGGGGACUCAUAGGAGACUGCCGGGGUCAACUC
rnacentral:rRNA from 1 species